rnacentral:rRNA from 1 species
GACAGAGGUGCCAAGCGUUAGGCGGAAUCACUGGGCUUAAAGCGCGUGUAGGCGGCCCUGCAAGUCGGGUGUGAAAUCCCACGGCUCAACCGUGGAAGUGCACUCGAAACUGCAGGGCUAGAGUCCUGGAGAGGAAGGUGGAAUGCUUGGUGUAGAGGUGAAAUUCGUAGAUAUCAAGCGGAACACCGGUGGCGAAGGCGGCCUUCUGGACAGUGACUGACGCUGAGACGCGAAAGCGUGGGGAGCAAACAGG